AUAUCGUUUGACAUUAAUCACUAUCACUAUCAUCAUCAUUGUCUUGUGUUAGCUGAUACUAUCAAUAGUAGUGGUAGUCUUAGUAAAGCCAGUCCAGAGCAACCUAAUGCCACAACAACUAUAACAGUCUCAGCCAUUGUCAAUGAUACCAGUGGUGGUAAUGGUAUCACAAAUACAUCAUCUUUGAUUAUAACUGAUGAUCACACCAUAGUAAAUUCAACGACAACACCAAAAACUGGUAAUAAUGUUGAACUGAUUCCACCAAAAGUCGCCAAAUCUAGACAUCCGACCACUUUGUUUUGGGCUAUUGUUUGUAUAGUCAUAGCACUGGGUGUUAUCCUUGGACUUAUCUGUCGCUUUAUACAGCACUCGAAACUUCAAAACAGGACACCUCCGACACCGCCA